AACGAACGCUGGCGGCAGGCUUAACACAUGCAAGUCGAACGCCCCGCAAGGGGAGUGGCAGACGGGUGAGUAACGCGUGGGAACAUACCCUUUCCUGCGGAAUAGCUCCGGGAAACUGGAAUUAAUACCGCAUACGCCCUACGGGGGAAAGAUUUAUCGGGGAAGGAUUGGCCCGCGUUGGAUUAGCUAGUUGGUGGGGUAAAGGCCUACCAAGGCGACGAUCCAUAGCUGGUCUGAGAGGAUGAUCAGCCACAUUGGGACUGAGACACGGCCCAAACUCCUACGGGAGGCAGCAGUGGGGAAUAUUGGACAAUGGGCGCAAGCCUGAUCCAGCCAUGCCGCGUGAGUGAUGAAGGCCUUAGGGUUGUAAAGCUCUUUCACCGGAGAAGAUAAUGACGGUAUCCGGAGAAGAAGCUCCGGCUAACUUCGUGCCAGCAG
rnacentral:rRNA from 1 species